GCUGGGGCACCUUGGUCAGCAUGGCCGAAUUGGGCCAAAUGUUGGUCUGUUUCCGUGCUGUGUGACUCCGCCUCCAUGACUCUAUAACAAACUUCCUUUUACAUCAUGCAAAGAAAAGUUAGUCCAGAUGGAGCUGGUUAAAACUCCCUAUUCAUGGAACCACAUCAUCCCAGUGGAGUUGGCUGGUCGGAAUCACCUCCAACCCACACAACCAGGAAAGCUGAAGGAUGUAAAUUCACCGACUGCGCAUUGGUGAGACAUGUCAUGCAUCAGACCUUUGGUGUAGAAUAGGACUGUGGAAUUCUUCAGACAGUCAGAAUGACUAGUAUUUCUCUCCAGGAACUCAAGGGUGGAUACGUUGAGAGGAGGAACGAUUUCUCUCACCUUGGACGGAGAAAUAGGAAGGCAUUUGGUGGAAUGUAGAAGCAAGGAACUGCAGAUGCCAGCGUGCAAAAGAAGACACAGAGUGCUGGAGCAACUCAGCGGUUCAGGCAGCAUCUCUAGGAAACAUGGAGAGGUGUCGUUUCGGGGUCGGGACCAUUCCUCAGGGUGGAUCGACCACUAAAAGCAGCUUCAAAGGACAUUUGGGCAGGUAUGUGGAGGUUUAGAGGGAGCUUUAUGGACCAGGUGUGACCAACUACAAUCCUACCACAACCAGACGGCAGUCCUGAACUACUAUCCACCUCUUUGGUGAACUUACUAUCCACCCCCUGCAGGAACUAUACAAUAGGAGGUGCAACUCCAGAGCAAACAAAAUCAUGAGAGACCCCUUCCACCCCUGCAACGGACUGUUCCAGCUGCUACGGUCGGGCAAACGCCUCCGUUGCCAUGCGGUGAGAACGGAGAGGUUGAGAAGGAGUUUCUUCCCAGAGGCAAUUCGGACUGUAAACGCCUAUCUCACCAGGGACUAACUCUACAGAACGUUUUUCCUUCCAUUAUUUAUUAUGUAAAAGAAUAUGUGUGUUAUGAUUGUGUUUAUAAUUUGUUUGGUUGUUUUGUUGUUUGUCUUUUGCACAAAAGUCCGCGAUCAUGUAUCUGUACACUGUAAAUGGAUCGAAUGUUAUCAUGUGUCGUCUUUCUGCUGACUGGUUAGCAGCAACAAAAAGCUUUUCCCUGUACCUCGGUCCACGUGACAAUAAACUCAACAACCAGCUUGGAUGAAACAUGGAUGAGUUGGGCCGAAGGACCUCGCUGGACCUCUCUGUCCUCUAGACCCCUCCUCGACCCCUCGAAAUCUCCAUCCACAUCGGGACGAUUUGCUCCCAUUUAUUGCAUUUCAAUAUAUCAAAGAAAUAAAACUUCUAUCUCAGCCUUUCACAGUCUGAUCCAGAUCUCGAUGUCCACUUAGUCUGAAAGUAUUUUAAUGGAACACGGAUGCCUGUCCCGGGAGAGAGGCGAUGAGAGGCACAGAUUUCUCCAAAAGCCGCGCUUGGCUAAAAAUAGAACGAUGAAACACAGACAGGCUGAAAUGAUGGAGAGCAAACUCUCACUGCACCCGCUCAUCACGGUGUUAAACAAGGUUAUCUUUAUCAGGGGGCAGACAUUCAGAGGGAGUUGCGGUGAACACUGAGAAUGGCCGCCACAGCCUGCGUUCAUGUUUCAGCCGCAGCCUCCCUCCAGAGCUGCUCUGCUUUUAAUCCCAUUCCAAAUGUCCAAAUGGUGCUCAUCUGGAAGCAGGAAUGUCCUGGAUGUGCCCACGCCAAGUGCGGAAAUAUUUGAUCGGAACGCUCCAUCCUCAUCCAGCGGACUGGAGAACGGGUGUGUUUAGACUUUAGACUUUAGAGAUACAGCGCGGAAAUAGGCCCUUCGGCCCACCGAGUCUGUGCCGGCCAGCGAUCUCCUCGCACACCAGUGCUAUCCUUACACACUAAGGGACAAUUUACAGAUUAACCCACUAACCUGUACGUCUUUGUUAUGUGGGAGGAAACCAGAACAUCCGGAGAAAACCCACAUGGUUACAGGGCGAAUGUACAAACACCGUACAGACAGCACCCGUAGUCAGGUUCGAACCUGGGUCUCUGGUGCUGUGAGGCAGUAACUCUACCGCUGCGCCACCGUGCAUGAUGCAACAGCGGUAUGAUGAUCUGGACCAUCCUAUCACCAACAAGAGAGCGGUCCUGACCGACCAUCCACCUCGUUGGAGACCUUCGAAUUGUCUUUAAUCGGACUUUACUGGAGUGUGUCUUGCACUAAACGUUAUUUCCUUUAUCCUGUAUCUGUACACUGUGGACAGCUAGACUGUAAUCAUGUACAGUCUUUCCGCUGACUGGGAUAGCUCGAAAAACAAAAAGGUUUUUCACUGUACCUUGGUACACAUGACAAUAAACGGAACUAAACUAAAC